CCAAUGAUGUUGUUAUUUAAUUAUACACCUGAUCAUGUUGUUGAUGAGAGGAAACGCUGAGGUG